rnacentral:lncRNA from 1 species
UAUCACUAGGUUUCUAAGGGUCUCACUAAGUUGCUGAGGCUGGUCUUGAACUUGGAAUCCUCCUGCCUCAGCCUCCUGAGUUGCUGAGAUUACAGGUGUGCACCACUGCACCCAGUAGCACAUGCUUUUUUGAUAUUGCUGUUUACAGGUAGUCUCGGUUUAAUACAAGCUAAUUUUAAUAUUUGUCAUAGGUAAUUUAAAAAACUUUUACUUUUAAAAUAUAUAUUAAAAAACAUGCAAACAGAUUAUUUUCACUCAAGUCAUGCACUUUAUCUUUUUUUUUUUUAAUGAAUGAUAGGACACAAAUGGAUGAUGUGUUUGUACUGAUGCAGAUAGAUUUAUAUGAUUCAAGCAAGGUACAUAGAUUCAUGUAUAGCACCAUCUCAUUUUUAUAAAACCAAAUAAAUAUGUAUCUCUAUGUCUCCUAUAUAUUUAGGGAAUAAGUCUGGGAUAUAAACUCUAAACUUUUUCAUUUUUGUUGUUAAAUACAUUUUUGGUCUGCAAUUUUUGCUUUCCUGUUUGCUGUCUUUGGGCACUAACUUUCAAAUGCUGCCUUCUAAUUUGGUGCUGUCCUUACAUGAGGCAGCUUGGCUAGUUGCAGACAUACAUUUGGGAGACCCUAGACCUUUAUGAAGAUAGUUUUCUUUUGGAGAAUGUGAGGAAGAUGUAUGAUUUAUUCUUCUUGCCUUUUUUCUCCUCUUUUCCUCUUGGCAGAGAAAAGGGAAUACAUCUUUUUUGGAGAGGCUAGUGCCCAGUUUUCAGUCCUUGGGCAACCUAGUCACUCCAUUUGUAGAAGCAUUAUUUUCAUUGCUUCUGUAACUGGUAAACCUUCAGUUACAUCGAAUUGCUAAGAAUUGCAGUUCGCAGAGUUAGGACACUGGCAAAAUUAUUCUGAUUUAUCUUUUCUUUAUAAAGCAUUUAGUUUGCCUUAUCUGAUAACAUCCACAUCUCAUGUGUUCUAUUCAGCUUGAAAGCAGCUUUAAAGUAUUUGUAGUCCUAGCCCCUGGUACAAUAUCUGGCAUACUUAGAAACUCCCAAAUUAUUUGGUGAAUAAUGAAUGAAUGUUUAGUAUUGAAGGUCAGAAUUCAUCUUCACAAUUUUCUCCUUUUCAUCUCUUCAUAUAAAGGUGCUAAUUCUAAGUUUUGACUACAUUAAAACUUGCAGUGGGCUGGAAUGAUUGGCUAGUCAUCAUGGUUGUAAUCUCACAAUAUUAAUCUCCAGUUGUUAAAUUGGAUGGACAGUGUUUUAUGAGAUGCCUUUUGCUUCUUUUAUGUAUGGGCAUAUAAGUUCAGUUGUUACUCUGACACAUCUGGAAAUAAAUGUAGUAGAGUCCAUAAUUUUUUAAAUAUCCCUUCCCUUUUUCCUCUUACUUAGAGCCAAGGGGAAGGAUUUAAGAAGAACAAAUUGUCCUUUCAUGAUGUGAUUUUUUUUUAAACCUACAUAAUUCAUACUACAUUAUGUA